UACGUAGGGGGCUAGCGUUGUCCGGAAUCAUUGGGCGUAAAGAGCGCGUAGGCGGCCCUGUAAGUCCGCUGUGAAAGUCAAGGGCUCAACCCUUGAAUGCCGGUGGAUACUGCAGGGCUAGAGUCCGGAAGAGGCGAGUGGAAUUCCUGGUGUAGCGGUGAAAUGCGUAGAUAUCGGGAGGAACACCAGUGGCGAAGGCGACUACCUGGCCUGUUUCUUGACGCUGAGGCGCGAAAGCUAGGGGAGCAAACGGG
rnacentral:rRNA from 1 species